rnacentral:rRNA from 1 species
UACGGAGGUGGCAAGCGUUGCUCGGAAUCACUGGGCGUAAAGGGCGCGUAGGCGGGGAGGUAAGUCGGGUGUGAAAACUCCAGGCUCAACCUGGAGACGCCAUUCGAUACUGCUGUGGCUAGAGUCCAGUAGGGGAGUGUGGAAUUCCUGGUGUAGCGGUGAAAUGCGUAGAGAUCAGGAAGAACAUCGGUGGCGAAGGCGCUCUGCUGGACCAUAACUGACACUCAGGGACGAAAGCUAGGGGAGCGAAUGGG